UUUGGCAGCCAAAAGGGUUUCUCUGAUCACUCUUGGUUGGCUGUAUGCUCUGCAGAAACACAGGCAUGUACCCGCACAUUAAUUGGGUUUUACAACCUCUUUUGUUGUCAUAUUACAGGGUGUCUCAGCCCCUUUGUUUGUUGCUGGGAACCUCUGCACUCGUGGUACAUUUCCUGCGGUACAACCCUUGUGGCUGCCACUGAAACCCUGCAGCUUGGAGUGCUAUAGGUGCAGCUUUCCUCUGGCACGUACUGGCUGGAUAACCAGCUGGGAGGGCAGGCCAUUUCUGGUGGUGGCAGCCCUCAAUCCUUCCCAUUUUGAGAAUAGGGCUGCUAGGUGCGGUUCCCACCUUGGUGCCCCAGUUCGUCGGGCCGCUUGAGCUAGGCCGAGAUCGGGCCUGAUGUAUAUCCUAUGACUCGAUUUGUAGAAACUUGAUUCGACUUAAAUUUCUAUGAUCGUUCUACAUGUAGACAAGUCUCUGUAAUAUUUAAUAUGUAUUCCAUUCAAGCAUUUGCAGUUUAUUAGCUUGAAAUUCUUUAUAUUGUAUUUCUUUUACUCAAGAAAUAACAAAUACUCUCUCAUUCUUUAUCUAA